UACGAAGGGGGCGAGCGUUGUUCGGAAUCACUGGGCGUAAAGGGCGCGUAGGCGGCCCUCUUAGUCGCGUGUGAAAGCCCCGGGCUCAACCUGGGAACGGCGCGCGAAACGGGAGGGCUGGAGUUCGGGAGAGGAGAGUGGAAUUCCCAGUGUAGAGGUGAAAUUCGUAGAUAUUAGGAAGAACACCAGUGGCGAAGGCGGCCACCUGGACGGAUACUGACGCUGAGACGCGAAAGCGUGGGGAGCAAACAGG
rnacentral:rRNA from 1 species